rnacentral:rRNA from 1 species
AGCGAACGCUGGCGGCAGGCCUAACACAUGCAAGUCGAACGAAGUCUUCGAACUUAGUGGCGGACGGGUGAGUAACACGUGGGAACGUGCCUUUAGGUUCGGAAUAACUCAGGGAAACUUGUGCUAAUACCGAAUGUGCCCUUCGGGGGAAAGAUUUAUCGCCUUUAGAGCGGCCCGCGUCUGAUUAGCUAGUUGGUGAGGUAACGGCUCACCAAGGCUACGAUCAGUAGCUGGUCUGAGAGGAUGACCAGCCACAUUGGGACUGAGACACGGCCCAAACUCCUACGGGAGGCAGCAGUGGGGAAUCUUGCGCAAUGGGCGAAAGCCUGACGCAGCCAUGCCGCGUGGAUGAUGAAGGUCUUAGGAUUGUAAAAUCCUUUCACCGGUGAAGAUAAUGACUGUAGCCGGAGAAGAAGCCCCGGCUAACUUCGUGCCAGCAGCCGCCGUAAAAC